CAGGGAGACAACAAAAUGUUUAAUUUUAUAAUUUUGUCACCUUAGGUCGAUCGGUAUCUCACGUUCUUAAUUAAUUAAGAAUUUCAUUUUCUAAGUUUUUCUAGGUCACACCCAUUAUUUUUCCUGGGCCAUUAGCUCAGGUGGUUAGAGCGCACCCCUGAUAAGGGUGAGGUCCCUGGUUCAAGUCCAGGAUGGCCCAUAUCUCUAUGUUGGGGGUAUAGCUCAGUUGGUAGAGCGCCUGCUUUGCAAGCAGGAUGUCAGCGGUUCGAGUCCGCUUACCUCCACUGAUUACCACCUCUUCCAUAAUUUGGAUAAAGGAAAUUUUUUGAGUUGUGAUCACAUUCUGAACGAAUCUAGCUUCCUAAUGAAGUCAUUAAGAAGCUGGACUCAUUGAAUUAAUUUCAUUGUUUUCAGAGAACCUUGACAACUGCAUAGAUUAUUUUUAAAGACAAUAAGCAUCUUUAAUGAUGCAGAUUUAUUAUUUGUGCGAAUGCAUUAAUAACAAUUCUAUUAAGCUGAUGCUUCAAUUUUGAAGUUAUU
rnacentral:tRNA from 1 species